rnacentral:lncRNA from 1 species
UGAGAUUUUUGUAUCCGUGUAUAGAGACCACCUAUGUACCUACCUAUAGCACUUGUAUUUGGGAUUUCCUAUUGUAUUUACUUUAUGUCUUAUUUAGCGAAUUUACAGUUUCAUCCUUAUUUCUUGUUGUAGCAUUUAGACAUUUAUUACGCUCUGAUACACCUAGAUGUCUAUUAUUAUGGCUUUAUUAUUGUUGUUUUUAGACGCCUUAUAUGUUGUAGACAUAUGGCGGGUCUGGGCACGCGCCGGGCGGGCUUCCGCUGGGUCCCGGGGCGUGACA